UACAGAGGUGGCAAGCGUUGUUCGGAUUUAUUGGGCGUAAAGGGUCCGUAGGCGGUUCGAAAAGUCAGAUGUGAAAUCCCACAGCUCAACUGUGGAACUGCAUUUGAAACUUUCGGACUAGAGUAUGAGAGGGGAAAAGGGAAUUCCCGGUGUAAGGGUGAAAUCUGCAGAGAUCGGGAGGAACACCUGUCGCGAAGGCGCUUUUCUGGCUCAUUACUGACGCUCAGGGACGAAAGCUAGGGUAGCAAACAGG
rnacentral:rRNA from 1 species